GGGGGCAUGGCUCAGGUAGUAGAGCAUCUGCCGGCAAGGGCAAGGUCCUAAGUUUAAAUCUUAGUACUGCCA
rnacentral:tRNA from 1 species